rnacentral:rRNA from 1 species
CCUACGGGAGGCAGCAGUGAGGAAUAUUGGUCAAUGGGCGGAAGCCUGAACCAGCCAAGUAGCGUGCGGGAUGAAGGCCCUACGGGUGGUAAACCGCUUUUGCACGGGGAUAAGACCCUCCACUUGUGGAGGUCUGCAGGUACCGUGCGAAUAAGGGCCGGCUAAUUCCGUGCCAGCAGCCGCGGUAAUACGGAAGGCCGGGGCGUUAUGCGGAUUCAUUGGGCUUAAAGGGAGCGUAGGCGGGCGUUCAAGUCAGCGUGAAAACCGCGCGGCUCAACCGCGCCCCGCAGUUGAAACUGGACGCCUUGAGUGCACUACAGGCAGGCGGAAUUCGUGGUGUAGCGGUGAAAUGCAUAGAGAUCACGAGGAACCCCGAUUGCGAAGGCAGCCUGCCGGGGUGCGACUGACGCUCAGGCUCGAAGGUGCGGGUAUCAAACAGGAUUAGAUACCCCUGUAGUC